ACAAGCAGCGGAGCGUGUGGUUUAAUUCGUUGCUACACGAAGAACCUUACCUGGGUUUGACAUAUAGGUUGUAGGGAACUGAAAGGGACCGACCUUCGGGAGCCUAUACAGGUGUUGCAUGGCUGUCGUCAGCUCGUGUCGUGAGAUGUUCGGUUAAGUCCGCUAACGAGCGCAACCCUCGUCGUAUGUUAUAUGUGUCAUACGAGACUGCCGGUAAAAGCCGGAGGAAGGUGAGGAUGAUGUCAAGUCAGCAUGACCUUUAUAUCCAGGGCUACACACACGCUACAAUGGUCUGUACAAUGGGUAGCCAAGCCGCGAGGCGGAGCCAAUCCUGAAAGCAGGCCUCAGUUCAGAUUGCAGGCUGCAACUCGCCUGCAUGAAGUUGGAGUUGCUAGUAAACGCAGGUCAGCCAUACUGCGUUGAAUACGUUCCCGGGGCUU
rnacentral:rRNA from 1 species